UACAGAGGGUGCAAGCGUUAAUCGGAAUUACUGGGCGUAAAGCGUGCGCAGGCGGUUUUGUAAGUCUGUCGUGAAAUCCCCCGGGCUUAACCUGGGAAUUGCGAUGGAGACUGCAAGGCUAGAAUCUGGCAGAGGGGGGUAGAAUUCCACGUGUAGCAGUGAAAUGCGUAGAGAUGCGGAGGAACACCGAUGGCGAAGGCAGCCCCCCUGGGCUGACACUGACGCUCAGGCACGAAAGCGUGGGGAGCAAACAGG
rnacentral:rRNA from 1 species